rnacentral:rRNA from 1 species
GACAGAGGGUGCAAACGUUGUUCGGAAUUACUGGGCGUAAAGCGAGUGUAGGCGGUGUGGUAAGUCGGAUGUGAAAGCCCCGGGCUCAACCCGGGAAGUGCACUCGAUACUGCCACGCUAGAGUAUCGGAGAGGUUGGUGGAAUUCCCGGUGUAGCGGUGAAAUGCGCAGAUAUCGGGAGGAACACCGGUGGCGAAGGCGGGUCUCUGGGCCGUAACUGACGCUGAGGAGCGAAAGCGUGGGGAGCGAACAGG